ACAUGUGGCCAUAUUGUCUUGUCAAAGCCUGAUCUCGUCAGAUCUCAGAAGCAAAGCAGGGCUGGGCCUGGUUAGUACUUGAAAGAGAGGCCACUGGGAAUAACAGGUGCCACAGUG
rnacentral:rRNA from 1 species